ACCAUUAUGAUCUCUGAAUUUUCUGUAAGCAAUUCAGGAGGCUAUGGGGGGUUAUUUAGUAGUAGUGGCUUGGAGUCUACAGGGUUAUUGUAGUAGUAUUGGCUUGAGUCUACAGGGUUAUUUAGUAGUAGUGGCUUGGAGUCUACGGGUUAUUUAGUAGUAGUGGCUUGGAGUCUACAGGGUAUUUAUUAGUAGGGCUUGGAGUCUACAGGGUUAUUUAGUUGUAGUGGCUUGGAGUCUACAGGGUUAUUUAGUUUGUAGUGGCUUGGAGUCUACAGGGUUAUUUUAGUAGUGGCUUGGAGUCUACAGGGUUAUUUAGUAGUAGUGGCUUGGAGUCUACAGGGUAAUUUAGUUGUAAUGGCUUGGAGUCUACAGGGUUAUUUAGUAGUAGUGGCUUGGAGUCUACGGGGUUAUUUAGUUGUAGUGGCUUGGAGUCUAGGGGGUUAUUUAGUUGUAGUGGCUUGGAGUCUAGGGGUGGUUUAGUAGUAGUAGUGCUUGGGUCUAGGGGUUAUUUAGUUGUAGUGGCUUGGAGUCUAGGGGGUUAUUUAGUUGUAGUGGCUUGGAGUCUAGGGGUUAUUUUUUGUUGUGCUUGGAGUCUAGGGGGGUGAUUUAGUAGUAGUGGCUUGGAGUCUAGGGGUGUGUUUAGUAGUAGUGGCUUGGAGUCUAGGGGGGUUAUUAGUAGUAGUGGCUUGGAGUUAGGGGGGUUAUUUAGUUGUGUGGCUUGGAGUCUACAGGGUUAUUUAGUUGUAGUGGCUUGGAUUCUACCGGGUUAUUUAGUUGUAGUGGUUGGAGUCUAGGGGGUGGUUUUAGUAGUAGUAGUGGCUUGGAGUCAAGGGGGUGGUUUAGUAGUUAGUAGUGGUUGGAGUCUGGGGGUUAUUUGUUGUAGUGGCUUGGAGUCUGGGGGUGAUUUGUGUAGUAGUGCUUGGGCUAGGGGGUGAUGAUUAUAGUAGUGGCUUGGGGGGGUAUUAGUAUUAGUUGCUUGGGGGUUAUUUAGUAGUAGUGCUUGGAGGCUAGGGGGUGUGAUUAUUAUAAAUAACCCUGUAGACUCCAAGCCACUACUACUAAAUAACCCUGUAGACUCCAAGCCACUACUACUAAAUAACCCUGUAGACUCCAAGCCACUACUACUAAAUAACCCCCCAUAGCCUCCUGAAUUGCUUACAGAAAAUUCAGAGAUCAUAAUGGUGACAGUAUUGAGCAUUAAAUAAAUACUACUAUCCCACAAACACUUCCUCAUGAAAACUAUAUAUCAUCUAGCCUUGUUCUGGUCCUCUGUGGACUUCCACGACAUCUCGGCCACUGAACCCUUCAUCCACACCACAUAAACAUCACUCAUUGACUUGAGGUUUUAGUUGAGUUGUAGUAGGUAAGACAGCCACAAGGGGGUGCUAUAGUACAAAGUAAGUGCUGGAGAGGGGGGAGGGGUGGUGGGAAUGGUUUCAGGACACUGAGGCAGAUUAUGCAGGUUGGCACAGCAAUGCACAGCUUAGCUGCACAGCAAUUUGAGGCUGUUGCAGAGUGCAGACACAGUAGUAACGUGAGACAGGAAGUACAGUCAAGAUAUCCAAAUCCAGGUUAGCUCACACAACCUCACCAGGCUGGUCCCAGAUCUGUUGUCUCCUUCUAUAGACUGGUCCCAGAUCUGUGGUCUCCUUCUAUAGCCUGGUCCCAGAUCUGUGGUCUCGUUCUAUAGCCCUAGAGUCAGAUGAAAGCAUGGAUACCAUUGCUGUGUCUCUGUUUGCAGUUUGAAUGAAGUUGCAAACCUAGCAGCAAACGAAACUACCUUAAAACCUCCUUCAAACUCCAUGUACAGAUACUGGACACGGAGACAUACACAUGGUCUCCACGUGUUCAUCUGAAUCUCGGGAAGUAGAUCAAGUCUUUCACUAAAAUAGUGAUGAGUUACAACCUGUAUUGGUGGCAAACAGAGAGUACAGCCACCUCAUCAUCUCUCUACAGUCCAGUGGUGUGAAUGAGAGUACAGCCACCUCAUCAUCUCUCUAUAGUCCAGUGGUGCGAAUGAGACUACAGCCACCUCAUCACCUCUCUACAGUCCAGUGGUGUGAAUGAGACUACAGCCACCUCAUCAUCUCUCUACAGCCCAGAGGUGUGACUGAGACUACAGCCACCUCAUCACCCCCAUACAGCCCAGUGGUGUGAAUGAGACUACAGCCACCUCAUCAUCUCUCUACAGUCCAGUGGUGUGAAUGAGACUACAGCCACCUCAUCAUCUCUCUAUAGUCCAGUGGUGUGAAUGAGACUACAGCCACCUCAUCACCUCUCUACAUUCCAGUGGUGUGAAUGAGACUACAACCACCUCAUCUCCUCCAUACAGCCCAAGGGUGUGAAUGAGAGCCAGGAGACUACAGCCAAAUUAGUGCAUUCAGCGAUUUCAGCCACACUCGUUGCUGACAGGCGUAUAAAAUUGAGCACA
rnacentral:lncRNA from 1 species